ACACUCCUACGGGAGGCAGCAGUGGGGAAUUUUGGACAAUGGGCGAAAGCCUGAUCCAGCCAUGCCGCGUGCAGGAUGAAGGCCUUCGGGUUGUAAACUGCUUUUGUACGGAACGAAACGGCCUUUUCUAAUAAAGAGGGCUAAUGACGGUACCGUAAGAAUAAGCACCGGCUAACUACGUGCCAGCAGCCGCGGUAAUACGUAGGGUGCAAGCGUUAAUCGGAAUUACUGGGCGUAAAGCGUGCGCAGGCGGUUAUGUAAGACAGUUGUGAAAUCCCCGGGCUCAACCUGGGAACUGCAUCUGUGACUGCAUAGCUAGAGUACGGUAGAGGGGGAUGGAAUUCCGCGUGUAGCAGUGAAAUGCGUAGAUAUGCGGAGGAACACCGAUGGCGAAGGCAAUCCCCUGGACCUGUACUGACGCUCAUGCACGAAAGCGUGGGGAGCAAACAGGAUUAGAAACCCUAGUAGUCCCAUGA
rnacentral:rRNA from 1 species